rnacentral:rRNA from 1 species
GUGAGGAAUAUUGCGCAAUGGAGGCAACUCUGACGCAGCCAUGCCGCGUGCAGGAAGAAGGCGCUACGCGUUGUAAACUGCUUUUAACCGGGAAGAAACCCCAGGACGUGUCCUGGGUUGACGGUACCGGAGGAAUAAGCACCGGCUAACUUCGUGCCAGCAGCCGCGGUAAUACGAAGGGUGCAAGCGUUAUCAGGAUUCAUUGGGUUUAAAGGGUGCGUAGGCGGAGCGUUAAGUCAGUGGUGAAAUCCUGCAGCUUAACUGUAGACUUGCCAUUGAUACUGGCGCUCUUGAGUGCGCUUGAAGUGGGCGGAAUGUGCCGUGUAGCGGUGAAAUGCUUAGAUAUGGCACAGAACACCAAUUGCGAAGGCAGCUCACUAAGGCGAUACUGACGCUGAGGCACGAAAGCGUGGGGAUCGAACAGGAUUAGAUACCCGAGUAGUCC